rnacentral:tRNA from 1 species
GCAAGCGCCGCCGUGAAGGUAUGGCACCGGUUUGUAAAACCGAAACUCCGAGGAGUUAGUGGAUUCGAUCCCCACCGCUUGCACCA